rnacentral:rRNA from 1 species
AUUGAACGCUGGCGGCAGGCCUAACACAUGCAAGUCGAGCGAGCGGCGGACGGGUGAGUAAUGUAUGGGGAACUGCCCGAUGGAGGGGGAUAACUACUGGAAACGGUAGCUAAUACCGCAUACUAUCGGAUGUGCCCAGAUGGGAUUUGCUAGUAGGUGGGGUAAUGGCCCACCUAGGCGACGAUCCCUAGCUGGUCUGAGAGGAUGACCAGCCACACUGGGACUGAGACACGGCCCAGACUCCUACGGGAGGCAGCAGUGGGGAAUAUUGCACAAUGGGCGCAAGCCUGAUGCAGCCAUGCCGCGUGUAUGAAGAAGGCCCUCGGGUUGUAAAGCACUUUCAGCGGGGAUGCGUUACCGGCAGAAGAAGCACCGGCUAACUCCGUGCCAGCAGCCGCGGUAAUUC